AUUGAACGCUGGCGGCAGGCCUAACACAUGCAAGUCGAGCGGAUGAAGGGAGCUUGCUCCUGGAUUCAGCGGCGGACGGGUGAGUAAUGCCUAGGAAUCUGCCUGGUAGUGGGGGAUAACGUCCGGAAACGGGCGCUAAUACCGCAUACGUCCUGAGGGAGAAAGUGGGGGAUCUUCGGACCUCACGCUAUCAGGUGAGCCUAGGUCGGAUUAGCUAGUUGGUGGGGUAAAGGCCUACCAAGGCGACGAUCCGUAACUGGUCUGAGAGGAUGAUCAGUCACACUGGAACUGAGACACGGUCCAGACUCCUACGGGAGGCAGCAGUGGGGAAUAUUGGACAAUGGGCGAAAGCCUGAUCCAGCCAUGCCGCGUGUGUGAAGAAGGUCCUCGGAUUGUAAAGCACUUUAAGUUGGGAGGAAGGGCAGUAAGUUAAUACCUUGCUGUUUUGACGUUACCAACAGAAUAAGCACCGGCUAACUUCGUG
rnacentral:rRNA from 1 species